GACGAACGCUGGCGGCGUGCUUAACACAUGCAAGUCGAACGGAAAGGCCUUUUCGGCGGUACUCGAGUGGCGAACGGGUGAGUAACACGCGGGUGAUCUGCCCUGCACUCUGGGAUAAGCCUGGGAAACUGGGUCUAAUACCGGAUAGGACCGCACUUUAGUGUGUGUGGUGGAAAGUUUUUUCGGUGUAGGAUGAGCCCGCGGCCUAUCAGCUUGUUGGUGGGGUAAUGGCCUACCAAGGCGGCGACGGGUAGCCGGACUGAGAGGUUGGUCGGCCACAUUGGGACUGAGAUACGGCCCAGACUCCUACGGGAGGCAGCAGUGGGGAAUAUUGCACAAUGGGCGCAAGCCUGAUGCAGCGACGCCGCGUGGGGGAUGACGGCCUUCGGGUUGUAAACUCCUUUCGCCAGGGACGAAGCGUUUUGUGACGGUACCUGGAGAAGAAGCACCGGCUAACUACGUG
rnacentral:rRNA from 1 species